GAAUCUUGCGCAAUGGGGGAAACCCUGACGCAGCGACGCCGCGUGAGUGAUGAAGGUCUUCGGAUCGUAAAGCUCUUUCGGUCGGGAAGAAUGGCCCCGUGGCGAAUACCCACGGGGAUUGACGGUACCGACAGCAGAAGCACCGGCUAACUCUGUGCCAGCCGCCGCGGUAAUACAGAGGGCGCAAGCGUUGUUCGGAAUUACUGGGCGUAAAGCGCGCGCAGGCGGGAUGGCAAGUCGGAUGUGAAAGCCCUUGGCUCAACCAAGGAAGUGCAUUCGAAACUGCUGUUCUUGAGUGUCGGAGAGGGUGGCGGAAUUCCCGGUGUAGAGGUGAAAUUCGUAGAUAUCGGGAGGAACACCAGUGGCGAAGGCGGCCACCUGGACGAACACUGACGCUGAGGCGCGAAAGCGUGGGGAGCAAAC
rnacentral:rRNA from 1 species